CUAUUUUCCAACUUUGAGCUGCUCAAUGGCGCUGAACAGGGUAGAUAAUUUACAUAUCAUAUGCUUGAUUAAACAGGAAAGGCUUCGAAAGUAAGACUU